rnacentral:ncRNA from 1 species
AACAAAAUGUUGAUAGAAGAAAGUAGAGAUUUGCAGUUUCACAGAGAGGGAUUUCUAGGCUGAGAUAAAUCCUAACGAAAAAUACUCGAAAGCUACUUCUGGAGUGUAGGUAAAACCUAUCGGUUGGCGCCGUUAUUGCCUUCGAGUGUUAUUUUUUCAAACGAAAAAAUAAAAUUAAGGUGGUACCGCGUUCAAAUCGUCCUUAUU